rnacentral:pre_miRNA from 1 species
AUCACCUGGGGAUCUUGGUAAAAUGCAGAUUCUAAUUCAGUGGGUCUAGGGUGGAACUCAAGAUUCUGCAUUUCUAAUAAGCUCCCAGAUGAGGCCUA